rnacentral:rRNA from 1 species
UACGUAGGUGGCAAGCGUUGUCCGGAUUUACUGGGCGUAAAGAGCGCGCAGGCGGUCGGAUAAGUCGAAUGUGAAAGCCCCCGGCUUAACUGGGGAGGGUCAUUCGAUACUGUUCGACUGGAAGGCAGGAGAGGGAAGCGGAAUUCCCGGUGUAGUGGUGAAAUGCGUAGAUAUCGGGAGGAACACCAGUGGCGAAGGCGGCUUCCUGGCCUGUUCUUGACGCUGAGGCGCGAAAGCUAGGGUAGCAAACGGG